UAUUUGCAGCUUCCCUGUGUAGUAAUAUUUAUUUUACGCUUUGAAACUCUUUUACAACAUGCCGUAAAACCCUAGAUUAAAUUUUAAUUUUUUUAAAGUUUUAUUUUUUUUUCAAAAGGUUGACCUCGGAUCAGGUAGGAAUACCCGCUGAACUUAAGCAUAUCAAUAAGCGGAGGAAAAGAAACCAACAGGGAUUGCCUUAGUAGCGGCGAGCGAAGCGGCAACAGCUCAAAUUUGAAAUCUGGCUACUUUGUAGUCCGAGUUGUAAUUUGCAGAGGAUGCUUUUGGUGAGGUGCCUUCCGAGUUCCCUGGAACGGGACGCCAGAGAGGGUGAGAGCCCCGUACGGUUGGACACCAAACCUUUGUAUAGCUCCUUCAACGAGUCGAGUAGUUUGGGAAUGCUGCUCUAAAUGGGAGGUAUAUCUCUUCUAAAGCUAAAUACCGGCUAGAGACCGAUAGCGCACAAGUAGAGUGAUCGAAAGAUGAAAAGCACUUUGAAAAGAGAGUUAAACAGCACGUGAAAUUGUUGAAAGGGAAGCGCCUAUGACCAGACUUGUUUCUGUCAGUUUUGCUUGUUUUCGGACUUGUUUACUCUGUCAGUACAGGCCAACAUCAGUUUGUUGUUUGGGAGAAAGGCUUAGGGAAUGUGGCUCCCUCGGGAGUGUUAUAGCCCUUUGCAUAAUACCAUUCGGCAGACUGAGGACCGCGCUUCGGCAAGGAUGUUGGCGUAAUGGUCAUCAGCGACCCGUCUUGAAACACGGACCAAGGAGUCAACCUUAUGUGCGAGUGUUUGGGUGUAAAACCCCAGCGCGUAAUGAACGUGAACGUAGGUGAGAGCUUCGGCGCAUCAUCGACCGAUUCUGAUGUUCUCGGAUGGAUUUGAGUAAGAGCAUAUAGGGUUGGACCCGAAAGAAGGUGAACUAUGCUUGUAUAGGGUGAAGCCAGAGGAAACUCUGGUGGAGGCUCGCAGCGG
rnacentral:rRNA from 1 species